CCGGACCGGCGCACGGGUGCGUAACGCGUAUGUAACCUACCUAUAACAGGGGCAUAACACUGAGAAAUUGGUACUAAUUCCCCAUAAUAUUCGGAGAGGCAUCUCUCCGGGUUGAAAACUCCGGUGGUUAUAGAUGGACAUGCGUUGUAUUAGCUAGUUGGUGAGGUAACGGCUCACCAAGGCAACGAUACAUAGGGGGACUGAGAGGUUAACCCCCCGCACUGGUACUGAGACACGGACCAG
rnacentral:rRNA from 1 species